UACGUAGGGGGCGAGCGUUUUCCGGAUUUAUUGGGCGUAAAAGGCUUGUAGGUGGCCACGCCAAGUCGGAUGUGAAAUCUCCCGGCUCAACUGGGAGGGGUCAUUCGAUACUGGCGGGCUCGAGGCCGGUAGGGGGAAGCGGAAUUCCCGGUGUAGUGGUGGAAUGCGUAGAUAUCGGGAGGAACACCAGUGGCGAAGGCGGCUUCCUGGACCGGUUCUGACACUGAGGAGCGAAAGCGUGGGGAGCGAUCCGG
rnacentral:rRNA from 1 species